GCCGCGAAUACAGCACCAGUAAAGGAUUCUCUCGGUUACAUCAUCUUAAGUCAACGCCGAUAAAUCCCAACUCGCCCGCAUUCGUAAUGCGAAGGUCGGGGGUUCGAUUCCUCUUUCCGGCACCA
rnacentral:tRNA from 2 species